rnacentral:rRNA from 1 species
UACGGAGGGGGCAAGCGUUGUCCGGAAUCAUUGGGCGUAAAGAGCGUGUAGGCGGCCCGAUAAGUCCGCUGUGAAAGUCCAGGGCUCAACCCUGGAAUGCCGGUGGAUACUGUCGGGCUCGAAUCCGGAAGAGGUGAGUGGAAUUCCUGGUGUAGCGGUGAAAUGCGCAGAUAUCAGGAGGAACACCAAUGGCGAAGGCAGCUCACUGGGACGGUAUUGACGCUGAGACGCGAAAGCGUGGGGAGCAAACAGG